rnacentral:piRNA from 1 species
UCUGACAUGCAGCAUAAGUAGAGGCUGA